UACGUAGGGUGCAAGCGUUGUCCGGAAUUAUUGGGCGUAAAGAGCUCGUAGGCGGUCUGUCACGUCGGCUGUGAAAACCUGGGGCUCAACUCCGGGCCUGCAGCCGAUACGGGCAGACUAGAGUUCGGCAGGGGGAGACUGGAAUUCCUGGUGUAGCGGUGAAAUGCGCAGAUAUGCGGAGGAACACCGGUGGCGAAGGCGGGUCUCUGGGCCGAUACUGACGCUGAGGAGCGAAAGCGUGGGGAGCGAACAGG
rnacentral:rRNA from 1 species